rnacentral:rRNA from 1 species
AGUGAACGCUGGCGGUAGGCCUAACACAUGCAAGUCGAACGGCAGCACAGUAAGAGCUUGCUCUUACGGGUGGCGAGUGGCGGACGGGUGAGGAAUACAUCGGAAUCUACUUUUUCGUGGGGGAUAACGUAGGGAAACUUACGCUAAUACCGCAUACGACCUACGGGUGAAAGCAGGGGAUCUUCGGACCUUGCGCGAUUGAAUGAGCCGAUGUCGGAUUAGCUAGUUGGCGGGGUAAAGGCCCACCAAGGCGACGAUCCGUAGCUGGUGUGAGAGGAUGAUAGGCCACACGGGAACUGAGACACGGUCCAGACUCCUACGAGAGGCAGCAGUGGGGAAUAUUGGACAAUGGGCGCAAGCCUGAUCCAGCCAUCCCGCGUGGGUGAAGAAGGCCUUCGGGUUGUAAAGCCCUUUUGUUGGGAAAGAAAAGCAGUAGGUUAAUACCCCGCUGUUCUGACGGUACCCAAAGAAUAAGCACCGGCUAACUUCGUG